rnacentral:rRNA from 1 species
CCUACGGGAGGCAGCAGUGGGGAAUAUUGCACAAUGGGGGAAACCCUGAUGCAGCGACGCCGCGUGAAGGAAGAAGGAUUUCGGUAUGUAAACUUCUAUCCGCAGGGAAGAAAAUGACGGUACCAGACUAAGAAGCCCCGGCUAACUACGUGCCAGCAGCCGCGGUAAUACGUAGGGAGCAAGCGUUAUCCGGAUUUACUGGGUGUAAAGGGUGCGUAGGCGGUUCAGCAAGUCAGAAGUGAAAGCCAGGGGCUCAACUCCGGGACUGCUUUUGAAACUGUUGAACUAGAUUGCAGGAGAGGUAAGUGGAAUUCCUGGUGUAGCGGUGAAAUGCGUAGAUAUUAGGAGGAACACCAGUGGCGAAGGCGGCUUACUGGACUGUAAAUGACGCUGAGGCUCGAAAGCGUGGGGAGCAAACAGGAUUAGAUACCCGAGUAGUC